UAGGGAAUCUUCGGCAAUGGACGAACGUCUGACCGAGCAACGCCGCGUGAGUGAAGAAGGUUUUCGGAUCGUAAAACUCUGUUGUUAGAGAAGAACAAGGACGUUAGUAACUGAACGUCCCCUGACGGUAUCUAACCAGAAAGCCACGGCUAACUACGUGCCAGCAGCCGCGGUAAUACGUAGGUGGCAAGCGUUGUCCGGAUUUAUUGGGCGUAAAGCGAGCGCAGGCGGUUUCUUAAGUCUGAUGUGAAAGCCCCCGGCUCAACCGGGGAGGGUCAUUGGAAACUGGGAUACGUGAGUGCAGAAGAGGAGAGUGGAAUUCCAUGUGUAGCGGUGACAUGCGUAGAUAUAUGGAGGAACACCAGUGGCGAAGGCGGCUCUCUGGUCUGUAACUGACGCUGAGGCUCGAAAGCGUGGGGAGCAAACAGG
rnacentral:rRNA from 1 species